rnacentral:rRNA from 1 species
CUACGGGCGGCACCAGUGGGGAAUCUUAGACAAUGGGCGCAAGCCUGAUCUAGCCAUGCCGCGUGAGUGACGAAGGCCUUAGGGUCGUAAAGCUCUUUCGCUGGGGAAGAUAAUGACGGUACCCAGUAAAGAAACCCCGGCUAACUCCGUGCCAGCAGCCGCGGUAAUACGGAGGGGGUUAGCGUUGUUCGGAAUUACUGGGCGUAAAGCGCGCGGAGGCGGAUCAGAAAGUUGGGGGUGAAAUCCCGGGGCUCAACCCCGGAACUGCCUUCAAAACUCCUGGUCUUGAGUUCGAGAGAGGUGAGUGGAAUUCCGAGUGUAGAGGUGAAAUUCGUAGAUAUUCGGAGGAACACCAGUGGCGAAGGCGGCUCACUGGCUCGAUACUGACGCUGAGGUGCGAAAGCGUGGGGAGCAAACAGGAUUAGAUACCCCAGUAGUC